AUGGGCAGGCUCCUGGGGGCAUCAUUGUGGAUUCUGUGGCUUCAGCCAUACUGGGUUAAUAGCCAACAGAAGAAUGGUGACCAGCAACAGGUCAAGCAAAAUUCUCCAUCUGUGAGUGUGCAAGAAGGAGGAAUUUCUAUUCUGAACUGUGACUACAAUAAUAAGUUAUUUGAUUACUUCCUAUGGUACAGAAAAUACCCUGCUAAAGGUCCUGCACUCCUGAUAUCAAUACGCUUAGGUAUGGAUAAAAAUGAAGAUGGAAGAUUCACAGUCUUCCUCAACAAAAGUACUAAACACCUCUCUCUGCACAUUACGGCCUCCCGGCCUGGAGACUCUGCCUUGUACCUUUGCUCAGAAGACGUCGAAGCAUUUGACACAUUGUCCAUCAGUAAAAAGUGUUGCCUUGUGGAUCAUAAUAACAAACACAGGCAUGUCGUGAAGCUUUUCAACUAUAAAGAUCUUGCUAUUGGUAGCCAUCCUGAUUCUCAGUUGCAAUGGAUAUAUGGCAUUGAACAUUCAGGAUGCAGCUCCAAGUUGAGAGUGAAGAAACAUGCCUAG